rnacentral:rRNA from 1 species
UACGUAGGGUGCAAGCGUUAAUCGGAAUUACUGGGCGUAAAGAGCGCGCAGGCGGUCGUUCAAGUCGCGUGUGAAAGCCCCCGGCUCAACUGGGGAGGGUCACGCGAUACUGAUCGACUCGAAGGCAGGAGAGGGAAGUGGAAUUCCCGGUGUAGUGGUGAAAUGCGUAGAUAUCGGGAGGAACACCAGUGGCGAAGGCGACUUCCUGGCCUGUUCUUGACGCUGAGGCGCGAAAGCUAGGGGAGCAAACGGG